GGGGAUUUAGCUCAGUGGUAGAGUACUUGCCUAGCAAGCACAAGGCCCUGGGUUCGGUUCCCAGCUCCG
rnacentral:tRNA from 1 species